UACAGAGGGGGCAAGCGUUAUUCGGAAUUAUUGGGCGUAAAGGGCGCGUAGGCGGCCUGGCAAGUGGAUGGUGAAAUCCCUCGGCUUAACCGAGGAACUGCCAUCCAGACUGCUUGGCUUGAGACCGGGAGAGGUGAGUGGAAUUCCCAGUGUAGCGGUGACAUGCGUAGAUAUUGGGAGGAACACCAGUGGCGAAGGCGGCUCACUGGACCGGUACUGACGCUGAGGCGCGAAAGCGUGGGGAGCAAACGGG
rnacentral:rRNA from 1 species